rnacentral:rRNA from 1 species
GACGAACGCUGGCGGCGUGCCUAAUACAUGCAAGUAGAACGCUGAAGAGAGGAGCUUGCUCUUCUUGGAUGAGUUGCGAACGGGUGAGUAACGCGUAGGUAACCUGCCUUGUAGCGGGGGAUAACUAUUGGAAACGAUAGCUAAUACCGCAUAACAAUGGAUGACACAUGUCAUUUAUUUGAAAGGGGCAAUUGCUCCACUACAAGAUGGACCUGCGUUGUAUUAGCUAGUAGGUGAGGUAACGGCUCACCUAGGCGACGAUACAUAGCCGACCUGAGAGGGUGAUCGGCCACACUGGGACUGAGACACGGCCCAGACUCCUACGGGAGGCAGCAGUAGGGAAUCUUCGGCAAUGGGGGCAACCCUGACCGAGCAACGCCGCGUGAGUGAAGAAGGUUUUCGGAUCGUAAAGCUCUGUUGUAAGUCAAGAACGAGUGUGAGAGUGGAAAGUUCACACUGUGACGGUAGCUUACCAGAAAGGGACGGCUAACUACGUGCCAGCAGCCGCGGUAAUACGUAGGUCCCGAGCGUUGUCCGGAUUUAUUGGGCGUAAAGCGAGCGCAGGCGGUUUGAUAAGUCUGAAGUUAAAGGCUGUGGCUCAACCAUAGUUCGCUUUGGAAACUGUCAAACUUGAGUGCAGAAGGGGAGAGUGGAAUUCCAUGUGUAGCGGUGAAAUGCGUAGAUAUAUGGAGGAACACCGGUGGCGAAAGCGGCUCUCUGGUCUGUAACUGACGCUGAGGCUCGAAAGCGUGGGGAGCGAACAGGAUUAGAUACCCUGGUAGUCCACGCCGUAAACGAUGAGUGCUAGGUGUUGGAUCCUUUCCGGGAUUCAGUGCCGCAGCUAACGCAUUAAGCACUCCGCCUGGGGAGUACGACCGCAAGGUUGAAACUCAAAGGAAUUGACGGGGGCCCGCACAAGCGGUGGAGCAUGUGGUUUAAUUCGAAGCAACGCGAAGAACCUUACCAGGUCUUGACAUCCCGAUGCUAUUUCUAGAGAUAGAAAGUUACUUCGGUACAUCGGUGACAGGUGGUGCAUGGUUGUCGUCAGCUCGUGUCGUGAGAUGUUGGGUUAAGUCCCGCAACGAGCGCAACCCCUAUUGUUAGUUGCCAUCAUUCAGUUGGGCACUCUAGCGAGACUGCCGGUAAUAAACCGGAGGAAGGUGGGGAUGACGUCAAAUCAUCAUGCCCCUUAUGACCUGGGCUACACACGUGCUACAAUGGUUGGUACAACGAGUUGCGAGUCGGUGACGGCACGCUAAUCUCUUAAAGCCAAUCUCAGUUCGGAUUGUAGGCUGCAACUCGCCUACAUGAAGUCGGAAUCGCUAGUAAUCGCGGAUCAGCACGCCGCGGUGAGUACGUUCCCGGGCCU